UCGGGGACCCAUGGUUUAACUUAUCUAGUAGUGUAAAUUGAUUAAAAUUGACUUGAUUUUAUGUUUAAUUUAAUUUUGUUCUAAUAUAUGUUUUCUAGGGUUUUGUGCCUAACGUUUGCAGAAUGUAGUAUGGACAAGAAUUUGACUAUAUGGGCACUCAAUUCUACCAAAAAGCCUAUAAAUAGAAGAUCUCUCAAGAAGAAAAUCAAAAGGAUAGAAUAGGGGAUAGCCAAAGUGCACAAUGCUUUCAACGAAAUAUCCAUCCUAAAGAAAAAAAAGAGCUCAAAGAAAAGAAAACAUUUGAGCUAAAGAAAAGGGAAGGGAAGAGAAGAAAAAGAAAAGAGAAAGAGAUACUCUCAAGCUUAAGCGUUAAAUCUCAUACUUCUGUAAGAUUAUAGAGAAACACCUACUAGUGUUUAGACUCCAUUGUAUUGUAAUAAAAUCCUCUCGUAGAAAUAUUUAGUAUAAACUGCUUGUGAUGGAGGAGCCUGAGGAGGUGACCGAUUGAUGCAAGGCGAACACAAGUAAUGUUCCUCGAAGCUUCUCUGACUAGAGAAGACGUAGCGGAAUGAUGAUUUGAACACAAGAUUCGAGAGAGGAUGAACAAGAAGUGAGGUCGACCUCACAUAAACCCUAGAAAAGGGGGAACACUAUAUGAAUCGAUUAAAUGGUGGAAACAUGAGUUUAUUCGGUAAGAAGUGGAGAUUAAAUGGUAAGAAGAGAUUUAAUCAGUCAAAAAUGGGAGACAAGGAAUUAAGAGGCAGAAACCCUAGCGGAGGACGAUGUUUGAACGAUUUGUUUGGAUGAAAAUGAAGGACGGAGGAUGGAAAUAUUUUUAAUCGGUAGAAAAUGGCUUUCAAUUAGUGAAAAUGGAGGAAAAAUGGAAAAUUUGUGGUUGGAGACGAAGGAGCUCUCAAGAGCGAGAUAGGAAGUUUGUUUCUCGCUUGAGAUAAAUGAAGUGAAACUGAGGAGAUGCUCUGUGGAUGAUGCACAAACGCUGACGCAUGUGUUAUAUAUGCACUGACGAAGCAGAAACGCUGAAGAUGUGGCAAUGAUGCGGAUCUGUGAGGAUGUGGCAGUGGAGGAGGCAACGUGGAGAAAAGAGAAUUGUAUGGAAACACAAUGGAGAAAUGGAAAUGAAAUGAAAGUAAUGUGCUUUGAAGGUGGCUAGGGGCGGGUCUCUUGGACUCUCUAGUUUGACUUUCAAAAAGAGAAUAUUAUCUGGAGGUUCCUCGACAGAAGUCAAAUUCCCAUUAUGUUCAAAAGUAAUUGAUACAAUGGUGGAGAUGGGUAUUUAUAGUAAUCCAUGCUCCAAGAAAGGUAAAAUGCAUGUACAAUAAAACGUAAUAGAAAUACAAGAGGACAAUGAGGAAAGUUCAUG
rnacentral:lncRNA from 1 species